rnacentral:tRNA from 1 species
GCUGGUGUAGCUCAAUUGGGAGAGCAGUUGCCUUGUAAGCAAACGGUUGCAGGUUCAACUCCUGUCACCAGCCCCA